CUCAUAACAUGUCUGGGGACGCUCAGGCCAGAAUAAGAACAAUGUUGUGAUGACAACAAAUAUUGCACUUGUCCCGGCCUAAGUGUUACAGUCACUAUGGC